rnacentral:rRNA from 1 species
GCAAGUCGAACGGGGUCCAACUCGUGGCAACACGAGGGAAGACCUAGUGGCGAACGGGUGAGUAACACGUGAGCAACCUGCCCCGAAGACUGGGAUAAGCCUGGGAAACCGGGUCUAAUACCGGAUACCCCCAUCGGAUCGCAUGGUCUGGUGAGGAAAUGAAUUUCGCUUUGGGAGGGGCUCGCGGGCUAUCAGCUUGUUGGUGGGGUAACGGCCUACCAAGGCGACGACGGCUAGCUGGUCUGAGAGGACGAUCAGCCACACUGGGACUGAGACACGGCCCAGACUCCUACGGGAGGCAGCAGUGGGGAAUCUUGCACAAUGGGCGAAAGCCUGAUGCAGCAACGCCGCGUGGGGGACGAAUGCCUUCGGGUUGUAAACCCCUUUCAGCAGGAACGAAACUGACGGUACCUGCAGAAGAAGCCCCGGCCAACUACGUGCCAGCAGCCGCGGUAAUACGUAGGGGGCGAGCGUUGUCCGGAUUCAUUGGGCGUAAAGAGCUCGUAGGCGGCUUGGUAAGUCAAAUGUGAAACCUCCAGGCUCAACUUGGAGAUGCCACUUGAUACUGCCAUGGCUAGAGUCCGGUAGGGGAUCACGGAAUUCCUGGUGUAGCGGUGAAAUGCGCAGAUA